UACGUAGGGGGCAAGCGUUGUCCGGAAUCAUUGGGCGUAAAGAGCGCGUAGGCGGCCCUGUAAGUCCGCUGUGAAAGUCAAGGGCUCAACCCUUGAAUGCCGGUGGAUACUGCAGGGCUAGAGUCCGGAAGAGGCGAGUGGAAUUCCUGGUGUAGCGGUGAAAUGCGCAGAUAUCAGGAGGAACACCGGUGGCGAAGGCGGGGUCUCUGGGCAGUAACUGACGCUGAGGAGCGAAAGCGUGGGGAGCGAACAGG
rnacentral:rRNA from 1 species